rnacentral:rRNA from 1 species
UGGCUCAGAACGAACGCUGGCGGCGCGUCUUAAACAUGCAAGUCGUACGAGAACCUCAGUGCUUGCAUUGAGGGGACAGUGGCGAACGGGUGAGUAACACGUGGAUAACUUGCCUCCAGGUUGGGGACAACAUCGGGAAACCGGUGCUAAUACCGAAUUGUAUCUGGUCUGCAUAAGCAGGUCAGAUGAAAGGUGGGGACCUUCGGGCCUACCGCCUGGAGAUAGGUCCGCGGCCCAUUAGCUUGUUGGUGGGGUAAUGGCCUACCAAGGCUGCGAUGGGUAGCCGGCCUGAGAGGGUGAUCGGCCACAUUGGGACUGAGAUACGGCCCAGACUCCUACGGGAGGCAGCAGUUAAGAAUCUUGCGCAAUGGGGGAAACCCUGACGCAGCGACGCCGCGUGGACGAUGAAGGCCUUCGGGUUGUAAAGUCCAGUAAGAUGGGAAGAAUAAGCAGGUAUUAAUACUGCCUGCGAUGACGGUACCAUCCUAAAGCCCCGGCUAACUACGUGCCAGCAGCCGCGGUAAUACGUAUGGGGCAAGCGUUGUUCGGAAUUAUUGGGCGUAAAGGGCGUCUAGGCGGGAAGUUAAGUUGGGUGUGAAAGCCACGGGCUCAACCCGUGAAUUGCAUCCAAAACUGAUUUUCUUGAGUCUGGGAGAGGAGAGCGGAAUUCCUGGUGUAGCGGUGAAAUGCGUAGAUAUCAGGAAGAACACCAGUGGCGAAGGCGGCUCUCUGGCCUAAGACUGACGCUAAAGCGCGAAAGCGUGGGUAGCGAACGGGAUUAGAUACCCCGGUAGUCCACGCCGUAAACGUUGUGUACUAGGUGUUAGCUCCUUGAGGGCUAGUGCCGACGCUAACGCAUUAAGUACACCGCCUGGGGAGUACG